UUCAGUUUGUUACAGAGCGAUUAAGAGAGAGUGAGAGAUUCUUGGGGUUGGGCAGUGAGAGAGAGAGCUUGAGAACAAGUUUGUAAAGGAUACGUUAUACACCAAGUUUCUAGUGGAUUCUGGAGAAGAUUCUCCGGCGAGAUGUAGGGAAUCCGGCAAGGAUCCCGAACUCGUUAAAUCUGUGUGUUCUUGCUUUUGUUCUUCUUUUGAUUCAUUCCGAGAUCUCAUCACAAAGAUCGAUUCAAGUAUUGGUGAGCUCAGUUCGAUUAUAAACCUUCACAAAUUGGUAUCAGAGGCUCUUCGAUUUCAUGGAAGACGGUGAAGUCGUGAAUCGGAGGAUUUAAAUUAUUCAACAUCGCGACUUAGGAGAAGAAAAUAAGAAGAUGUUGCGAUGUCAAGAACGAUGGAAGAAGUGAACUUGUGACUGUUCUUGGAAGAAGACGUGGUAAGUUGAAGAAAGAAAAUCAAUGGAGUUAUCCCAAUCAGAUCAAAUGAAUGAUUUCUGGUUUGUGAAAUCAGUUGAAUCGUAAGUUAUUCUCUCUCUAAGAAUCAGAAAUUUGACAUCUAUGUUAGUUCUAGUUCAAGAAUUUGCUGGGAAAUCACGACAAGUAUAAGAUCGUUGUAGUCUGGAUCGAAGCACAAGACAUCAUCAAGACUCAAAACUUUGUGAAAUUAAGUAUGCAUCCGCUGCAAGUCGCAAGGUUAGUUGUGAUGUUAUGAAAUCUUCAAGUCUGUAAAGAAAAGAGCCAAGAUUUGUUAAAGCACAAGUUUGUGUGCAAGGUUUUUAGCUAAGAUUCGAAAGCAUCUGUUGUGGGAGUUUUUUUUAUUCAAACUUGGGUUCAAGAUUAGUAAAGAACAGUUAUUGGAAGCUCAUAAAAGUCUAAGAACUAGGGGACGCCUUGGUUGCUUGAUUGGUAUAUGGGUUCAUGGUUGUUUGGACAUCAGGUUAAGGCUCAGCAUUUAAAGACAGAAAUUGCAGGAUUAUUCAGGAAUAAUCAGGGAGUUUGCUUAGUAAAGUAAGUUGAUGAUUUAGAGGAUUUCAAGUAUUUGCCAGAGUUUUGAGAAAUAGUUUGUCAAAAGUUAAGUCUCAGAGUUAGUUAUCAGAUUCUUAAAAGAUCGCAAGGACUCCAAGUAUAUGGUGAUCAAAGGUUUGAACAUAGGUCAUCAAUGAGUGAGUGGCAGCUAGGACAAUCCAAAGAUGGAGAAAAACAGGGACACCAAGAAGUAACAAACAAAUUCUCAACUAAAGAUGGAGAAACAUCUUGUGUAAGUAAAUCAAGAUGUGACCGGCAUAAGCCAGUAAGAAUAAAACCAAGGAAAUGUAAAUUGGUUAUUGGUUCUUAUGGCUCAAGUCUGAGAGUCAAGAAGAAAAGUGGAUCAGCUGGUUAUAGGAAUAUCGAGACAUGAAGACUCAAGUUUAAAGGCAUUGUUCGGGUGUUUCUACAGCUAUAACAAGUUAACAGUUGGUCUGUUGGUCUAUAAGACAGACUAAAGUAUUCAAUCUGAAAUCAUAAAAUCAGAAUGAGAGAGCUUCAUUAGAAGCAAGUGGUUCUUGGAGAGUCUUCUAGAUAUUAAAGAGACUGUUGGUGUAGCUACAAAGUGGAAAGAAUUAUAGAUAUAUCAAGUGUUAAUGUCUAUACAGUCGAGCACACAGAGAUUUAUGAUUGAGAAUCAUAAGAGACAGUGAUGAAGAGGUUGUUAGCUCAGCAAGUUAGAACAAAUGUUGAGAGAUACAAGUAAUUAUGAAAGAUCUAAGUUUCCGGUGGAGCCACUAGUGUUACAGAAAUGUGAUACAUAUUCAUGAAGAUGGUUUGUGAUUCCAUGUGGAGCUAUACAAUUAAAGAGUAUCUCCAGUUAACUUAAGUGCGGAGACAUGGGCUGAGUAAACAGGUUUAUCAACUCAUCAGGUUUGAUUUAUGAGAAGAAAUUAGUUACUGUUUGGGUAUGAUUCAGGUUGGUCAAGUGUGUGUGUUGAAGACAGAGGUUCGAGAACAGGUUAAGAUGUCAGAAAGGUUCAAGCAUAAUCAUGUUGCAACAGGAGUGAAGAAUAAAGUUUUCAGGGGGACUGUUGGAAUAUAAUUGAGUUUCUUAGUAAUGUUUUAAGUUUUAACUGAUUUCAUGCAUUAAGUGACGUGUCUUUUACAUGUGUGAAGAGUUACAACUCUUAGUUUGUGUUGUUUCAUGUUGUGUCUUUCCUAGUCUAUAUAAAGACAUUGUCUGUAAACUACAUUCAGUUUUCAUAUUAAUAAAGUUGUGUUUUCUGAGAAAGAGAAUAUCGUUUCUCAUACUCUGUUUUCUUCCUUAUUGUCUUGAGAAUCAAAGAUCAACACUAACGAAGCGAAGCGGGAGGCUGAGAGGCUGCAGAGGAUUGUACUAGCGAAAAUGUAUAAGUCUGAGGAGGAAUACGCAACGCAAGUAACAGAGGCUGAGCGAGGCCGAGGCAGAGACGCAGUAUCUGUUUGAGAAGAUUAAGCUGCAGGGAUAUUCGUCCCGUCACAGGUGUUGAUGUACUCAAAGAUCUCUGCUUCAAGGAUACAAUCUCUCGCCCAAUCCAAUCCUUGAGGGUAUGAAUUUUAUUUUUCUUUUCUACAACUCUUUCAUUAGCUUUGAGCUAAUCUAACUCUGAUUCUCUGGUAAGAACUCCUUGUUUUGAUUAGUCUCUAGGUAGCAGCAACUUUCAAUCCCUAAACAUCAAUCUCUGUUAGUGCAAGAUAUAUACUCCUAUCUUGACUUUGAAAAUAAAUGUAUAGAUAGUGAUUGUGCUAAACAGAGAAACCAAAAGUUUGGAUAUUCCAUCUUGGAUCUUGAACUCGGGGAACACAUAUAUGGUUUCCAAUGACCUUGAAACUGAUCCGCCGAGUCAAGCAAGACUAAAGCAGAUAAUAUGGAAGAAAAACGAAAGCUCAAGAGUUUUACAAAGCAUUCUUAACACAGCUCAAGUCUCAUGUGAUGUCAGAACAACUUUCGCUGAAAAGCAGCUGCAGAUGGUGAUUUACGGUGAAGGCAGCAACGAGCGAGUCUUAAAGAAUCGGAUUGGUAAUAAGAGUCGGCAACAGGAUCUAUUGUCCUGAGGAGUAGGCUUUUUUUGCAAAAUUGCGAGCAGAUUGUAUAGUGGAAAUGACCAAUUCUUUGACACAUUGGGCAGAUUAUCAUGACAAAGAUUUCUCAAAAUCAAACAUUUAACUUAAUUAAAAGGUUUUUUUUUUUCAAGUCAUAAAUAGAGCAUGGCAAGCUUAAAGUUACAAAACAAUUCGAAAACACAUUGUCCAGGGAACAAAGGAGAAGGAGAUAUUUGCUAGACAUAGGUGAAGAUUUUUAGUUUUGCCUUUUCGAAAUUGAUUGGAGCUGCUUAGCUAUGGCGAGCAAGGUGCAAAGCAUUCCAACCUAUAGGAGCAAGAAACAAUCAACCAUCACCAUCCAUCUAAAUAGCUACUGCUAACUAAUUGAUAUAUACACACACACUAGAGAGAGAAUAAUCAAAAGUAAAUGGACACCGUUAUAUACCUUAAUGGUGUGACUAAGGCAUGGAGGUUGAAGUGGUAACAAUAUCAGACGACACAUUUUCCUGUUAAAUGAUUCCAUAUAUAAGUUAUAAGAGCCUAUAGAUGACACAUCUUUUUCAAUUGCAAAUUAAGGGUAAACUAUAUAACCUGAAUAUCAUCAACUUUGGUCUGAUACUGAUCUGGUCCCUUGGAGUUAUCAAGUUUUUGCAUACAUAUAGAACAAACUGGUGAGGCCAACCUGCAUAAGAGCAAGAACACUACCAUUAGCGUAUAUCGACAAUAAAAGCCACACAUUAGAAGAAAGAUGAUAAAAAUGAAUGUAUACUUUUUGGCGGUGCGACGCUUUUCACGACGACGAGAACGAGAGUCCGCCGCAUUUAAUACCUGUUGUUAUAAAUUUUACAUAGUUAAGAAACAAAUCAAUCAAUAAUAAAAAUUAAAAAAUGGCCCUAGGGACGACAUAAAUUACUUCUCAAUUCCGAUUUUACAAAAUCAAACCCCAAAAUGAAAAGAAAUUCAAUAACCUUCGUUAUCCUCUCAUGCCGAUCCUUUCUCCCUCGCAUUGUGUUUCGCAUUGCUGUGCCUCCUUCAAAACUCUCCUUGUGGGUGCUGGAAACCCUAACAAAUUAUAUAUAUAUAUAUAUACAAUUUGGGCCUUUAUAUAAAACCUUCAACUCCUUAUCCGGCCCAAACUACAUCUUUCUCUGAUUUAUUACCAACAGAAACUAAAUACAACAACUUAUGAUUAUACUAGACUCAUGGGUUGCAAGGAUUUUUGAUUGGUAAGUUUGUUUUCAAAUUUAAUUACCUUUAUUUAUUUAGAGUGUCUUUUUGAUUUUUUUUUCCUAAAUAUAUAAUUUGCAUGAAGAAUUAUAUAAGUAUAAUAUUUUGUAGAAGAAUACUUAUGUGCUACCCUCAAAUAUUACACGCAAUGAAAAAAUGAACAUCACAAUGUCUAACUGAUGCGGCGGAUAAAUACGAAAGAGAGGGCUCAAGUAUCGAUGGAUCAAGAGUCUUCGUCCGUAGCUUCGAUUUCAAGCUUUCUUGCGUAUCAAUGGAUCGAAAGAAAGAAGAAUUCCAAAACUUGUAUGAGAAAAGUUUCUCUUUUAUUAAUCAAAAACAACCAACCUUCUAGAAUACAAGAAGUAGAGUACUUAUAGAAAAAAAACGUCAAAACCCUAACGAAGGCUUGGUGCUAAAGCAACCAAAUAACCGACGUAGCAAAAACCAAAAGAAAGCCCAUAACUAAAUUAAGACUGAAAGCAUAAACGGAAGCUCAUUAAAAGAGAAGUAAUAGAUGUCGCUACAUUAGGUCUCCCGGGGUAAGAAGAAAAUUCGUCCCCGAAUUUUCAUCGACAUCAGAAGCAACAUAAGGAACCAAAUGCUUCACAUUAAACACAUUGGCGGUGUUCAUAUGUGGUGGAAGGCGGAGGCGGUAAGCAUUGUUAUUGAUCUUGGCUAGAAUCUCAAGGGGACCAAUCUUUCGAGACUUGAGCUUGUUGUACGUGACGGGUUUAAAACGAUCCUUAGUGAGGACAGCCCACACCAAAUCACCAACGUUAAACUGGACAUCCCGACGAUGAACAUCCGCAGCAGCCUUGUAUUUUUGGGAAGAAGCUUCUAAGUUCGUGUGAACUUUCUCAUGGAGCUCAGCAAACUGAUCGACAAAAUCACAUGCACGACCGUGAAAACGAGUACGAUCCGGAGAGACACCAAGAUCUAACGACACUCGAGUUAACAAACCAUACACAACCUGGAAUGGGCUAAAUCCCGUGCUCCUGUUCACAGCUCGAUUGUGGGCGAAUUCAGCCUGACAAAUAACAUAAUCCCAUGACUUGAUAUUAUCACCAACCAAACAACGCAACAAAUCUCCUAACGUCCGAUUAGUAACUUCCGUCUGGCCAUCAGUUUGUAGAUGAUAGGCCGAACUCAUAUCUAAUUUUGUGCGUAGAAGACGCCACAAAGAUCACCAAAAAUGACUCAAAAAUCGAGAAUCACGGUCUGAGACGAUAGAUAAAGGAAGCCCAUGAAGCUUGUACACUUCGCGAAAAAACAAAACGGCAUCUUGAACCGCAUCCGUUGUCUUCUUGCAAGGUAUAAAAUGAACCAUCUUCGAGAAACGAUCAACCACAACAAAUAUCGAAUCAUUACCGCUUGAGUCCGAGGUAAUCCCAAAACAAAAUCCAUGCUUAUAUCUGUCCAAGGCUGUGUCGAAAUAGGGAGAGGUAAAUAGAGACUCGGAUUAGUGGCCUUACCUUUAGAUGCUUGACAAAUGCCACAACGAGUGAUGAAGCGCUCCACAUCGCGUCGCAAAGUGGGCCAAAAAUAUGAGGAACUAACAAGCUUCAACGUACGAUCUCGACCAAUGUGACCCUCUCCAUGAAGCUCGCGAAUGAGCUGUAACCGUAAGCUGCCUUCAGAGAUACACAAUUGAGCACCACGAAAUAAGAAACCAUCGAAGAACAAGUAGACGUCACCGAGUCCAUCUUUUGCGUCGCUCCAAAUUUUAGAAAAGAAUGGAUCAAGAGGAUAAAGGUCUGGCAAUGAUUCAAACCCAGUAACCGAAGCAUGUAACAUUGUUAAAAGGGAGUGGCGUCGGCUUAACGCAUCAGCGACCUUGUUAAGAGUGCCGGCCUUGUGUUUUAUCACAAAGGUAAAUUGUUGUAAAUAAGCAAACCAAGAUGCAUGGUGGGACGAAACCUUGUCUUGAGAACCCAUGUGUUUGAGAGCAUCGUGGUCCGUGAAUAGAACAAACUCCUUAUGAAAAAGGUAAUGACGCCAAUGUUUGAUUGCUUGAACAACGGCGUAAAGCUCAACAUCAUAAGUGUUGUACCGUCCUCUCGCUCCUACAAUCUUUCACUAAAGAAAGCGAUUGGUCGUCCCAAUUGACUUAACACCACACCAAUACCUGUUUUAGAUGCAUCACAAUGAAGCUCAAAAGCAACAUGAAAGUUUGGUAACACUAAAACUGGUGUCAUGAUCAACUUGGUUUUGAUCGUAUGAAAUGCAUUAUCCGCGUCUUGUGUCCACACAAAUUGUGUCAUCUUCAUGCAGUCAGUGAUCGGCGACAUAAUGCUGCUAAAAUGAGGCACAAAACGGCGAUAGGAAUGAGGCCAUACCAUGAAAACUGCGGACAUCGGUAAUAGAUUUCGGCACUGGCCACGACUCGAUCGCGCUUACUUUAGCUGGAUCCACUUGGAGGCCUUGUUUCGAGACAAUAUAACCGAGGAAAAGAACAUGCUCCACUCCAAAAGCUAAUUUUUUAACAGCCCCAAACAACUUGUCACGCCGUAGAACAAGAAGAACAUUACGCAAAUGAACGAGAUGCUCUGCAAGAGAUGAGCUAAAGAUUAAAAUAUCAUCAAAAUAAACCACCACAAAUUUACCAAUGAACAGGCGCAAUGCUUGAUUCAUAACGCGCAUGAAAGUGCUCGGCGCGUUGGAUAAACCAAACGGCAUAACCAGCCAUUCAAAUAGGCCUUCGCGUGUUUUAAAGGCCGUCUUCCAUUCAUCGCCAGGACGGAUACGAAUCUGAUGAUAUCCACUCUUUAAAUCCAACUUUGUAAAGAUAGACGCUGUCCCAAUUUGAUCGAGAAGAUCAUCAAGUCGCGGAAUCGGAAAACGAUAGCGCACCGUGAUCUUAUUAAUCGCUCUGCUGUCCACACACAUACGCCACGUUCCAUCUUUCUUGGGAAUAAGUAAAGCUGGUACGACACAAGGACUUAAGCUCUCUCGUAAGUACCCCUUGGACAGAAGAUCUUCGACUUGACGACGAAGUUCAUCAUGUUCUGUUGGACUCAUGCGAUAAUGAGGUCGAUUGGGCAACACCGAAUUAGGUGCUAAGUCGAUGCAAUGUUGGAUGUCUCGUAAUGGAGGUAAACCAUCAGGUAACUCGUCUGGAAAAACGUCCUUGAAUUAAUUCAUUCAAUAAAUCAUGAAAAGCAUCGGGAGCAGCAGCAAAAAUCACGUCAACAGCAGGUUUGACGACAAGCACAACGGCGACGUCAACUUGUUGAAAUUCUUCAAAAAUCAAUGACUUAUUAACCAAUAGCACUUGUUGCGUCAGAAUUGUAGAAACAGGAGGCUUCUCAAUGUCUUCGGUCUUGAUAAGAGGAUCAGUAGACGAUUGAGAUGGUAGUAACGUGAUACGUUUCCCUUCGUACGUAAAGGAAUGCGUAUUAGUGAAUCCAUCAUGCAUUGUUCGACGAUCAUAUUGCCAUGGUCUCCCUAAAAGUAAGUGACAAGCAUCCAUUGGCAGAAUAUCACAAUAAACUAAGUCCUUAUAAUUCAAACCGAUAGAGAAAGGAACACGACAACGCCUAGAAACCCGUGUGUCAGUGGUCGCGUUUAACCAAGCCAAUCGAUACGGAGUCGGAUGAGAUUCUGGAAACAAAGCAAGCUUAGCAACGGCUUCUUCAGAAAUAGCGUUAGUACAACUCCCGGAAUCAAUUAUCAUGCGACAAACUUUGCCACGAAUCGAGCAAGUAGACUGAAAAAUAUUUGUUCGAAGCCAAGAUUCCUCAACUCCACCAGGCAGAAGGUGAUUGCGUCGCAACAUUAACAUCGUACCCGUAUCACUCAUCACUUGUUCUGAUUCCUCAUCUGCCUCUUCAUCAUCUUGUUCGUAAGUAUCAUAAACAGGUUCUUCAGUACCAGUUAAGAGACCUCGCCUGUUCGUAUGAGGACAAGAAGACUGACGAUGGCCCUGUUCUCCGCAUUUAAAACACUUAAAUGUAGUAGAGCGUUGUUGACUUGAAGACGCAACACCCUCAGUACCCUCCAGAGGGCGAAUUUGGUCAGGUGGUUUGCUAGCCACUGUCUCAGCUGAGCGGGUUUGGUUCGCAUUCCAAGCAGGUAACUGACUCCGAGGCUGUGUCUCGAUCAAUAAAGCUCGCUGAUGAGCUUCGGACACAGUAAGGGGACAGAAUUGGAGUAGUAUGUUCUGAAUUUGAAGGCGUAAACCACCAAUAAAACGGGACACCAAUUGUUCUUUUGUUUCCGUCAAAGGAUUUCGAGCUAAGAGGGUAAAGAAUUCUGACGCAUACUCAUCCACCGACUUUGUUCCUUGUCGCAAAUUCUAAAAACGUGUAUACAUGGUGCGUGUGUAGUUGUAUGGAAGAAACGAUCGGCGCAUUAGUUUCUUCAUCUUCUCCCAUGACGUGACGCGUUCUUUACCGGCCUUCAAACGCGUUUCCUUUGUUUGUUGCCACCAAGCUGAAGCACGACCACGCAAACGAGUUUCCACCAAGGGUACUCGCAUCGCAUCAGGUACUUCUUUGAACGCCAACAGCUCUUUUGUCGUACUCAACCAAUCAAGAAACUCUUUAGCCUGCAAUCCACCAGAAAAUUCAGGUAAUUCCAAUUUGAAACCAGACUCCCAUCGAUUGUGAGGAGCUCGUGGCGCUUGGAUAAUCGCUUGUUGUGGAGCAGCUUCGCGGUGCUGUUGUUCGCCUAACCGCGCGAACAGAUUGUUACCAAGGACAUCAUCUUCUUCGUUAUUCUCCUCAAAAGCUUGUUCUUCGUGUCCCUGUUGUGCUUGAAAGAUAGCACGAACCGCUGUUUCAACAGAGACACACAUCGUAUCUCUAAGGCUUUGUUGAAAUUCGGUCAUCAUCCCUCGAAACGCAUCGUUCUGCACUUCUAGUUGCUGUUCCAAGUUCUUCUUUGGAGGCAUGGUGAAGAUCGUUUGGCUCUGAUACCAACUGAUGCGGCGGAUAAAUACGAAAGAGAGGGCUCAAGUAUCGAUGGAUCAAGAGUCUUCAUCCGUAGCUUCGAUUUCAAGCUUUCUUGCGUAUCAAUGGAUCGAAAGAAAGAAGAAUUCCAAGACUUGUAUGAGAAAAGUUUCUCUUUUAUUAAUCAAAAACAACCAACCUUCUAGAAUACAAGAAGUAGAGUACUUAUAGAAAAAAACGUCAAAACCCUAACGAAGGCUUGGUGCUAAAGCAACCAAAUAACCGACGUAGCAAAAACCAAAAGAAAGCCCAUAAGUAAAUUAAGACUGAAAGCAUAAACGGAAGCCCAUUAAAAGAGAAGUAAUAGAUGUCGCUACAUCACUAACUGCACCAACAAAAUACUUAUGUGCUACCCUGAUUAGUUUCUUGUCUGGGGAACAUGCAAGCCUUGAUCGGUAUUGGCCAAAGUCUCCCUUUCCUGCGAACUCAUCACUCCACAGUUGACAGUUCUAAAGUUCCAAGAGAAAGAGCAAUUCGUGGAGGGACUUUUUUUUUCUUGAGCAUCCGCUGGAAAUAUACAUCUAGGAUUGUACUAGCGAUGUCAUCGCUAAUAAGACCUAAAAUCUUUUUCUUUCCGCAAUCAACUUGGCAUGAAUUUUGAACGCUAAUCAGACCCGGCCCUAAGCAUAUACCCAAGAAACAUUUGUAUAGGACCUCAAUUUUUGCUUCAGCUUUUUAGGGCCUAUUUUAAAAAAAUUGUAAAGCUUUUUAGGGCUGAGAAUUAGAAAUUGGGGGCCCACGAUUCAAAUAUAUGUCAAGAAUUUAUAUUUUUAUACUAAGAAAUAAAAAACUCAAGUUAUUUUUAUAAAAAAAGCUAAGAAUUAUUUUUUAAGAAACUCCAAAAAUGCCUCAAAUUUUAGUUUUGUAUUGGGCCCCAGAUUUUUCAGGACAUGUCCUGACGUUAAUACAGAAAAACUGUAUUUCAAUGGAAAACUAAGUCACCAAACACAAAUUGAAUUCAUGUUCAUAAAAUACCAAUUCAAAUCUCACUAGCUUGGAUCUUAGAAAAAGAAACAGAUCCCAAACAUAGAUGAGUACAAACCCUAACAAAUCUCAUAGAGAACUAAAGAAGAAGAAGUUUACACAAAUGAUAUUUUUCUGGUUGUUCUUCACAAUUGAUCAUCACUCUCCUUUAUAGCUUCAGCUCACGAUCCCUUCUAAGAGCAUCUCCAAUGGUGAGAGUCUAUGGUGGGCUCUCACCAUUUUUUUAAGAAUAAAAUUUUCAAAUUUAUGAGAUGAGAGCUUUUAUUAAAUUUUUUUAGUUUUGCAAAGUCCAAUAGUAGGUUCUCUUUGUAGGGUUCUCAGGAAAAAAUUAAAUUAUUUUUUUAAUUAUUUUAUUUCAUAAAACUGAAAAAUAUUACAAUCUAUAUAUACAUUUUUGGAUCACAAUUAGCAAAUAAAUCCUGAAGUUGAGAAGUAUUUACAAUGGCAUGCCAUUAGCAUUAAUUAUUUAGAUUUGUUUUAUUUAAGUAAAGAUUUUUAAAUGAAAUUCAUUUUUUCAUAUAUUUAGCAAAAGUCUCUACAAAAUCUUUCUUUAUCUAUUUAAGUAAAAAUUUUGAAAUCAAAUAUGUUCUCAACAAUUUACCAAAAAUUUCUACACAAUCUUUUUAAAAAUCUCGACUUAGUUAACUUCUGAUUUUUAUCUGCAAAAAAAAAAAUUAAUAUUAACGAGUGAUGUAAAAAUCGGGAAUGUUGAUAUUACAAUUUCUUCUACUUUUUUUUUUUUUUCAUAUAAUGAAAAUUAUUUUUAGGGAUAUUUUCUCAAAACCUCUAAAUAAAACAAAAGGUUUCAAAAAAUAGCUUCUCUUUUGGAGGGUCGACCCGCAAAUCCGCAACUUUCUACGGGCUUAUCCGCAUGAACCUGCGACCAGUAGUGGAUAAAAAUAUUAUUCAAAAAAAAUAACAAAUGAUGUUUAAUUUUACGGGACGGGGUUAUAUGGUGCAACAGGUUUAGAUCAAUAUUAAUAUUAAACAAUAUUAAACAAUAUACGAUGGAUGAAAUCCUAGAAUUAAAAAUCAAAAUUUAAUUAUAAAAUCAGAAACACUAAACAAAAUAAAUAAUAUUAACAAAACAAAUACAACUUAAAAUUUUGCAAAAUAAUUUUUUUGUUGUAAAAAAAUCGACCCGCGGUGUACCGCGGGGUAAAAUCUAGAUUUGGAAGUUUAAGGAAGAAAAAUCUUUUUUUAAAAAUAAUAGCUCCGCGGUGUACCGCAAGAAAAAUCUUUCUCUUAAACUGAGGCAAAAAGAAGAAGAAAGCCAAAUGUCGUUUAAGUGUAUAUAACUAUAUAUAGAUAUACCAUUUAAACCUAAAACACAAUUAAUAUACUCAAAACUAUUAAUAUAGAUAUAUGGAUGGUACAUUUAUAAAAUAGGUCGAAAUAUUAUAUUAUACUCUCUAUUAAUAAACAAAACUAAUUAUAUUUAGAUUUUUUAAAAAAAAAUUAUAGCCCCGCGGUGUACCGCGGGUUCAAAUCUAGUUCAUAACAUAUUAAACAUACAAUAAUUUCAAACAUUUGAAAAUAAAUUUGCAAAAAAAAAAAAAAAAACGAUUAGUUAUUCGGUUCAAUCGGUUCGAACAAAGAAACCAGACAAAUAUAAGAGAGUGGAAACAUGCAAAACCUUCGCUGCAGAAAAUUCUAAUCCUAAAGCAAAAAGGAGAAAGAUAACACCAAACUGAGCUACUGUUUCAACCUGUGCUACACAAAAAAUUAUAAAUCAAAUCGUUGUCCAGGCAAUCUUGUACUCAUGAAAACUUCCAAACGUAUAUGAAGACAACAAAAGAUGAACUUUGAAGUAUAAUAAAGCUGAUGUAAGCUACCUGCACCAUUUCACUAACAAAGCUUAACCCGCCCGGUCCAAUGAUAGAUCCAGCCAAUAGAUACCCAGUAAUGACCUGCCAUAUAAGUAGUGUAGAAAUUAAAUAACACUGUCAUGGUUUGAUCAGUUAAGAGCUAGAAAAAUCGUUUCUACAAUGCCGGAAAGCUGGAUACUCAAUGCUAACAAAAUAAUAUUGAAAGUUACAAGCUUUGCAAAGGAAGUGUGUGCGGACCGGUUGACCAGCACAUGCAAAGGCAAUUCCACCACAAGUAGCAGAAACAAUGACGACGACCAAAUCUGAUAUCAACCUACAAAUGUACCGUUUUAAGAGAGAUGCCCCCAACAAAAAACAGUAAGUUAGAUACUAACAAAAUAUAACCGAACGAAGAACUUAUCUUACGAAUGCUAUACUUACUUUAAAUCUAGCUGCAGUACAGGGUCAUUGGAUUUUGGACUGGACAUUAUAAAAACGUUGUCUUGGAUUAAAAUUGCAGCAAAGUCACAUUACGAGAAUGCUUUUACAAACGAUUACAUUUUUCAACAUAUAUAUCACAAAUGACUUGAGACUAUUUAAGCUUACCUUCCUAUCUAUCAGUCUCGGAGUAUCUUCUACGCCAUUCUCAUUAUCCAAAUUGAAGAACGAUCUAGAACAAAAUACUCAUAUGUUAUAGUUUUCUUUAACCUGUGAAACAAAAUUAAAUAACAUCCACUACUUGCACAAAUCGACUCCAAACAGGGCAAUGCAUGCAUCAGAAAAAACUCACUUCUCCUCCUUGGUCUUGGUUUCAUUUUUCUUAGGCUUAACUCGAGCAACAGUCUCUAGAACAGCCUAAUAAGCAUAACAAAUAGCUUAAUGGAAAGAAAAGACAACAUUGAGUAGUGUGCUGCGUAAGAGCAAUCAAACAAAGAUCAAAUCUUGCAACAACAAACCUGUUAAUCAGCAACACUAUUAUUGAAGCUUCCUGGAUCAGGAACUGCAAAAGCAUUUCACAAAAAACGCAUAUUGAAAGAGUUCACAAUUCAUUAAUUGGUAAAAGCCAUUAACCUUGAGAAAUCUAUAAACCUAGAUAGACUAAAUGUGAGCACAAAGCGUCUAGAGUCUAGACCACUUAGCUAAUCAAUGAUAAAUCCCUAGAGAAGGAUCAAUUAUCACAAAAUUGAAAUCCCUAAAGAAAAACUGAUCUCUGAAGACAAAAACCCUAGCUCCACAGGGAACGUAAGAAAUUGAAGAAAUGCAGAACAAUGAAGAUCUAGUGAGAGAGGAACCUUCGUUCUGGUCAUUAUCAGGAAACUCUUUCUCAAGUGCCCGAUCGAUCAUAUCAGCGAAACUAUCUUCCUUAGGUUUGGCACUCGUGGCAUUGGACCUCAAUCGUCGGAGACAAUCGAUUGUCAUCGCCAUCUCUCGCAAAGAAAGAGAGAGAAACAGUCGGGAAAUGAAAACGUGAAAUGCUUCUUUCCUUUCUUUUUUUUUGACGCUUUUUUUGUUUUUUUUGACAAAAAAAAUCGACGGCUGAGAAUACGCCACGUCAUCGUCUCUCAUACUACUCUAUAUUUCUCUCAAGAGAGCUGUCUCUCUUCAUAAUUCAUAGUUUUGAUUUAUUUUUCAACAUUUUUUUCAAGAGAACCUUGAAAGAGAACCCAAUAAUGCAUCCAUUGGAGAUGCUCUUAGAGCAUCACGUGUCACUAAUACUAAUUCCAAUCAUCUUCUUCUAUUUCUCCACGUCAUUUAUGCAACACAUUUGAGAGUCUCCUUGAUCCAUUUUCCUAUAUCAAACGCCACCAACUGAAACAGAAAAACCAGAAAUAUUGAAUAUAAUAAAGAACAAUAAUAUUGGCUCAAAAAAUAAAGGGUAAUUCUCUAAAAUACCAUCAUUUUUGUUUUUAGGGCAAAAAUACCACAAAACUAAAAUUAAAUUUUUAAUUUUCAAUUUCUAAACUCUAACUCUACCCCCUAAAUAUUAAACCCUAAAUGUACAAUAAUCAACCCCAAUCAAAGAUUUAAAACUCCAUACCAUUGAACAAUAAUUUGGUAUUAGUGGUAUUUUUGGAAACAAAACCAAAAUCAUGGUAUUUUGAGGAAUUCCUCAAAAAUAAAUGAGAUGUUUUAUUUAAGACCGAAAGGAUUUCAUAUUCAUUUAAAAGUAAAAAUAAAUUUGGAUACGAGCUCGUAUCGGUUUUUUAAAGUAUAAUUCAUGAAUAGUUGUAAAAUUUUAUCCACUUUCUCAACUAAAUUUGAUAACUAUUCAUGUACAAAUAUUUUCAUUUUUAUUAUAUGAUAACAGAAAAUGUUUUAUUUAAGACUGAAAAGAAAAUUUGAAACAAAAGAAGAUAUGCAGCCUAUUAUUUUUUUUUAAAAAAAUUUUUGUUUGUUCUUCAAACACAGAAUAGAGAGAGACAUAUGCAGCCUAAUUAAUCUCUUAAGAUCAAGUCUCCAUCUUUCAGUCAAAAAACCGUUUAGAAAAACUAAAAACUGUUGUAGAACUAAUUAUUUUAUUGAUCCUCAAGGGAAUAUAUAGAAGUACAUCGGGAUACAACACAUAAUGAAUAACCCUGAUUGGCUUAUUGGGCCCAGUUAUAAGUCCAAUAUGAUGUAUUAUAACACUCCCCCUUGGACAGAGUAACCGGUCCUGAUGGUCAAUCGGGAUCUCGAUAAUGCGUAGGGGAAUGUUGCCUCAUUAAAACCUUACCAAGAAAACCCAGUGGGAAAAACCAUGGUGAAGGAAAAAGAGUACAACACGCAUUACUCCCCCUGAUUAGAGCAUCACUGUAGAUCUCUAUGUCUACGCAUUCCUAUUUAUUGGAUGAGCUUCCGGAGUGUUGAAGCGGGCAAUCAUUUGGUGAAAAGGUCGGCGGAGUUCUCGCUUGAUCGGACCUGUUGAACGCUGAUCGUACCAUCCUUCUGCCAAUCCGAGGUUGAGAAGAAUUUCGGUAGGAUGUGCUUCGUCCGAUCUCCUUUGAUAUAACCUUCCUUGAGUUGAGCGAUACAUGCUGCAUUGUCUUCAUACAACACCGUAGGCUCCUUGUCUUCGUCCAUACCACAAUCUGACCAGAUGUGCUAGCUGAGUCAUGGAUCGUAGCCAAACACAUUCUCUGCUGGCUUCGUGAAUGGCCAAAAGUUCUGCAUGGUUUGAUGAAGUGGUAGUGGUUGUCUGCUUCAUCGAUCUCCAAGAGAUAGUUGUUCCUCCAUGCGUGAACACAUAACCAGUUUGAGACUUGGCAGUGUGCGGAUCUUGAAGAUAUCCUGCAUCAGCAAAACCAACUAGUCCAUCCUUGUUGUGGUUAGUGUAAAACAGUCCUAAGUCUUUAGUACCUUGAAGGUAUCUUAGGAGGUGUUUGAUACCGUUCCAGUGCCUCUGAGUUGGACAUGAGCUGAAGCGAGCUAGGAGGUUCACGGCAAAGCAAAUGUCUGGUCUAGUGUGACUAGCCAGGUACAUUAACGCUCCUACAGCACUGAGGUAUGGCUUUUCUGGACCGAGAAUUUCUUCAUCGUCCUUCUUGGGACCAAGUGGAUCAAUGUCCAAUUCUAAGCUCCGAACAACCAUUGGGCUGGUCAAUGGGUGGGCCUGGUCCAUGUUGAAUCGCUUGAGUACUUUUUCAGUAUAAGCCGAUUGAUGCACAAGGAUUCCUCCUUUGACGUACUCAAGUUGUAAACCCAAACAGAAUUUAGUUUUACCUAGGUCUUUCAUUUCGAAUUCUGCUUUCAAGCAGUCGACUGUUUGGGAGAUUUCACCAGAUGUUCCGAGGAUGUUUAGAUCAUCCAUGUAAACUGCUAUGAUUACAAAUCCUUUGUUUGAGUAGUUCUUGAUGAAAAUGCAUGGACUGAUGGGAUCGUUUUUGUAGCCUUCUCUGAUGAGAUAUUCACUUAACCGGUUAUACCACAUACGUCCACUUUGUUUCAGUCCAUACAAGGAUUUGUUCAGCCUGAUGCAGUACUGAUCUCGAGAUGCAUGCUUAUCUUUAAGCUCUAUGCCAUCUGGUAAUCUCAUGUAUAUUUCAUUGUCCAGGGGCUCAUAGAGAUAUGCGGUGACAACAUCCAUUAACCGCAAAUCUAUAUUUUCUCUUAUGGCCAGACUUAUGAGGAAUCAAAAAGUAGUUGCAUCCACCACCGGAGAAUAAGUCUCCUCAUAAUCGAUUCCGGGUCUCUGUGAGAAUCCUUGUGCUACAAGCCGUGCUUUAUAACGAACGACUUCACCGAGUUCGUUUCUCUUAAGCACAAAGACCCAUUUAUGGCCCACUGGUUUGACAUUGAAUGGUGUCUGGAUGAUCGGACCAAAAACAUUCCUGAGUUUGAGACUCUUUAACUCCACGUUUAUGGCUUCUUUCCAUUUUAGCCAGUCUGUUCUAUGAGUGCACUGUGUGAUAGACGUGGGUUCUAGAUCCUCUUGCGUGUUCGCAAUAUCAAGUGCUACUUUGUAUGCAAAGAGUGCAUUCAAGUCGACUUCUUUUCUGUUCCAUUGGGUUCCAGACAUGUUGUAAUUGAUAGAGAUCUCAUCGUUAUCGAUCUCUUCAGAACCAAAAGAUUCGGCGUCCCGAACCUCUUUCGGUGGUUCAUUAGAGUGAGUCUCAGCCGCGGCUAUGUCUGUUAUAUUGGGAAUCCCGGUUUCAACUAUUGCACCUUUCUUUGAUUUCCGUGGAUUCUUGUCUUUGGAACCUAGAGGUCUGCCACGUUUAUUUCGUGAUGCAGACUCUGUAGCAACUUGAACUUGUCCCGUUGGGACAGUUAUUCGUACAGGUGCAUUGCAAGCUGGUAUGUACGAUUUGGUUACUUUGUUUGGGUCAGCAAAGGAAUCUGGCAAUUGAUGAGCUAGCUUUUGAUAGUGUAUAAUCUUUUGGAUCUCUGAAUCAUAUUCUAGAGUCCGAGGAUCUUGCCAAUUUAAGGAUGUUUGAUUCCAUGAUAGCUCUUUGAACCAAAUUUUAUUAAAAUUUAAUAUUUUUCUAAGUUAUAGGCACAUUCAUAUUACGUAAAUAAUUUUUUUUUACUAAAAACCAUAUGUAUAUUUUAGAUGACUUUUCUAAGUACAAUCAAACCAAAUCAAAACUGAAAAACCAACCCGAAGUUGAAUCAAACCGAACCGAAACAAAUUCAAAUUAUAAAUGGUUUUUUGUGUUUUAGUUUCUAUCAAAUUACCGUAAAACCUCUAUAAAUUAAUAAAAUUGGGACCAAUGUAUUUUACUAAAUUUUAUUAAUUUAUAGAGGUUUUAUUUGUGCGGUUUAUAUAUGGUGAGCAGUGGUGAUCAUGACAUAACAAUGCCUUUCCAAGCAACUCAGGCCUGGAUAAAAUCUCUAAAUUACUCCAUCACUGAUGACUGGAGGCCUUGGAUGAUAAAAGAUCAAAUCGCUGGGUAAUAUAUAUACAAUUUUUGUUUUAGAUCUCUCUUGUUCAUUUUCUAGACGUAUCAAAAACCUCUCAAACUCACGUAAGAAUCAUUCUUGCCUUUUUCUUGACAGAUACACGAGAACUUUUUCCAAUAAGAUGACAUUUGCUACAGUCAAAGCAAGUCUUCUUAAUUGUUUCAUCUUAACAUUUUUAUUUUUAUUGCAUUUCCAUUUGAAAAAUCUAUUGUAAUUUUAAUUUUUUUGGGGGCGUUUUGAUUAUAGGGAGGUGGACACACGGCAGAAUAUCUACCAAACGAGAGUUCUAUCAUGUUCCAAAGGUGGCUCAGUGGCCAGCCUUUGUAAUAGAGGCUCAUCAUGACUUUUGUCCUUUUGUCUCCUUGUCAUAACCUUGUCGGUCACCGCGUGAUAAUAAAUAAGUUUGCAGAGAAGUUUUUGUUAAUGAACUUUUAUGAAUGAUAAUAUAUCAUACUUGAAUUUGAAUCAUUCUAUUUGAGUUAAAGAACUCGACCCUAUGUUAAGUUUCAUGGGUUUCAAACAUAAUUCAUUAAAGAUUAGUGGAUUAGUCCAUGUAAAAGGUAGAGAGACAUACUUCGAUAUAUAUCAUAACUUUGUGUCUCUGUCUUCCGUACCACCACAAGACUGGUCGUUCUUGGGCUUAAGAGCCCCAAAAUCAUAAGGGAUAGGGAAAAGGUAGCCUAUCAUAUCAAAAGGGCAAUCCAUUCUUAGAAUAUGUGUUUCAUGUCAAUAGGUUAAGUUAUGGGUUCGUCGUUUUGUUUUGAAUCCGUAAAAAAUAGAACGUUGUAAGUUGUAACGUUGGUUAACGCAGCCUGAGAAGUUUUUGACCCCUUUACCUAUUUUGGGUGAGCUGAUAGUAAUUUGAAGAAGAAAAUGAAGAAAUAGAGACCAUAAAAAUGAGAACAUGUGGAAUCUUUUGGUGAAAAAUGUAUUGAGGAUGAUACUUUGUAAUUUGGGCCUGGUCCGGCCCAUAAUUAACAGCAUGAAAAGUAAACCUGUGGGUUAUGGGCCCACCACGCUUCCGCUGCGCCACUCUGAUUUUCUUAAAUAAAUCAGCACUUGCUUAUAUUUAUAUGUUAAUAUACCACAAUCAUUCUUAGCUAAACGCUUUUUCUUUUCCGAAACCCUUUAUAAAGGAACCCUAUUUUACCAUCACCUUUUAUUUGUUAACUUUUCAAAAUCGAUUGUUUCGAUUCAAUGAUUUAACUUUUCACUGUUGAUGUUGGGAUGGGUCUUAAAAUAAAUUUCAGGAUCUCUCCACUGGUGUUAACCUGAAGAGUGAAGACACAUACACAGAUUCAUUAAAUAAAAUUUAUGUGUUCACAAAAAUUGUAGUAUGCCUUGGAGACUCUUUGAAAUAUCCGGACUUUGACAAAUCUAUCUUCUUGGUUAAGGAUUUGAAGUGAGAGGGUUACCUACAUACCAAAGCUACUAAUGUGAAAAGUUAGUGAGAUGCGUUGGUGAAGAUCAUCCUAUUUAGGUUAACUUUCCAAAACAUUUUUAUUUGUAAAAACAAAACAAAUUUAGUUGUUUACUUGUUUAGUGAGUAUUGCUUUAGUAAUAUUCAGUAAUAGUAGAUUCAACAUUUUUAAAUGUAAAAUAUUUUAACAUUAUUAUGAAUUCAUAAAAAUAAAAAAGAUUUUCGUUUUAGAUAAUGUGGAGUAUAGUGUGUUACACAUGCCAAAACUGGACUCCAUUUAUCUUUACCAUCUUUAAGUAGAAACAGAAUGAAUUAUCAUUACCAAUAUUGUGCUUGUUACUAGAGGAAAAACUAGAAAACUUAAACAGAGUUGAACCGAUUUAAGUCAAAAAUAUGAUUCAAAAGAAAAAGAAACAAAUUAAUUCGUUUUCUAAAUCCCUAUAUUCGAACAAAACUGAACAUAAGUUACCAAACGUUUUCUUAAAACAAAACCUUUACACUAAUUUUGUUACUAUGUUCACUAAACCAACAAGGAAAAGAAAAACCAAAGAUCACAUAUAAAAUUACAAAUACUUCAUAAUUUGACAACAUGAAAUACAUUUUUAUUGUUUAUGCGUAAUCAUCAUACCAUUCUUCAUCAUUAGCAUCCAAAUAUUCUUCUUCUUCAUCAUCUAUCUUACCUGGUCCAAGCGAUUCGACCGGGCGAGAAAGGUUUGGAAUGGUUCUUGCCUCACCAACUAUCUUCAUAAUCUCCUCUACUCUUUGAGGAGAAAAGUUAAUAAGAUUAACAUUCCUUUGGUAAUAAAUAGCUUGUGCUGACUCCUUUAGUUCUCUUGGCAAAUUCUUUACGAACCAUGCAUGACUCUUAAUCUCUUUAAGCGUACUUCUCUAUAAUAGUUACAAAACAACAAACAUUUAAAGAAGUUGAUUGGCAGGUAAACAAUAAGGUUAAAAAUCCAUCUAUACUUACAUGUAACGGAUUGGCAACAAAUAUACGAGAUAAUAACUUUCUGCAGUCUUCUGAUAUGUGAACAUAUCCUGGAAUCUUGUACUGUACAGCCAUUAUUUUCUGUAAUUUCCAACCCAAAAAUGACAUAUGAUUGUGUGAUUAUAUAGAUGAUCACUUCGUUUAUUUUAUACAUUAAAAAAAAUACCUGAACAGUUUUUCGGAAAUUGCGAGGGUCUUUAGGGUCUUCGAAAGGAUAAGCUCCUACUAACAUAACAUAGAGUGCCACUCCACAAGACCACACAUCAACUGACUGUAGAAUGAUAUAUAAAUCAAACAACCUCAAGUUAUAUUGUAAAUCUGUAAUCAAUAAACAUUAGUAUAAUUUUUAUUUUAUUUCGAACAAAAAAUCGUGACCUCGAAUUAAAUUUCCUCCGACUUAAGGAGUAGAACAUGUUCAGGUUCGAAUUCUGGUUGUUACAUACUAGUUUUUUGUAUGAAUAGUGGGAUGUAAAAAUAGGAAUGUUGAUCAUUAAAAUUUUUCUUAAAGAAGUCUUGGUUUAUUUUGUUAUACUUAUGUUUAUUUGGAUUUAAAUUUUGUUUUUUCGAAUUAAAACAAAUUUUGAACAGAAAUUAUCGCUUCCAAAAGGUUGAUCUAUUGCUAUUAGACUACCACACAUUUGGUAGUAUGUUUUUCAUUUAGUUACACUUACAGUUGGUCUAUUCGAAAUGGACAAUUGUCCUCUUAGCAAAGUAUAUUGAUAACUUUAAAGGCAACACCACGAAAUAUAAUUGUGCAAGUUACUUCCCAAAACAAAUAUUAAGUUGACCAAUGAACAUUUUGCUGACGUUGGUUAUUUGACAGUGGCCAUUUAAUUUGAAUAGAUAUUGGAUAAAGUCGAUAUAUAGUAGUAUACAAUUUACCAUAGAAGACUAGUAACAAAUGUCAUGUGAAGUGGAUAUAGGAAGCAAGCUAGCUUUUGUCGUUUACUACUCUUUUUCCAUGAAUUAUGGUUUUAUAACUAUUGAAAGUGGAAUGUCCACCUAAAAACACUAUUGAAAGUGGAAUUCAGACUUGUAAAUAUCUUUGUUAUUAGGAAAAAAAAAAUAUAUAUAUAUUCAUCAUUAUUAAAAAUGGAAAUAAUUUAAUUUACCUUUCCAUCGUAUUCCGAUCGACAAAAAACUUCCGGUGCUAUAUAUGCCGGAGUUCCCACCGUUGAUUUUGGGUUGGAAUGCAGAACAGAAGACUGUCCAAAAUUUAGAAAUUAUUAUUAUACAUUCAGAAGUUUAGAUUUUAUGUUACAAAAAUUGAAAAGAAAUGAACUAAUAAAAAUAAAAUAAAAACCUUUGAGUAGCCAAAAUCACAAAUUUUUAAACGUGGUGCUGGGCUUCCAUCAAGCAAUGUGUUUUCUAAUUUCAGAUCUCUGUGGCAUAUUUUCUGCAAAAGUAAAAAAUUUCAUUAAUAAAACCAUAACACAACUAUUAUAAUUACAAUUUGGUGUGUACAAUCAAUUUACCAUGGCAUGUAAGUAAUGGACUCCACAAAUGAGUUGUUGAAAGAAAUAUCUUGCCUGCAAGUAAAAUAAAUAAAUUAAUAGAUAUUAAUGAGGGUAUAAUGAAUCAAAAAUGUGGUAAUCAAAAUUAUCAUCUUAUUUUCGACAAAAUGUAUGUGUCGACAAAAAAAAAACAAGAAUUUCAUUUCCAAACCUCAGCUUCACUAAAUCGACCCGCGCUAGAUAUCCGAUCAAAUAGUUCUCCUCCAGCUGCGUACUCCAUUACAAUCCCAAGAUGUGUCGGAGUUAGAACAACCUAAAUCAUCAACACACCAAGUUUCAAUAUAUUUUUUAUUAGCGUCAAAGUGCCAUAUUUUUUGAAGUUUCCUAUAUCGAAUAAAAUCUUUGGACCUUUCACGAAGUUAGAAACGAGUUUUAGGAGAAUCCGAAUUCAAAGUCAACGACGAGACAGGUUUUUGAAUUAUGUGAACUAAGAGAUUCGAGUAAAGGACAAAAAUAAAUAACCUAAUAUUCACUUCCUUAACGAACUAAAAUAUUUCACUUGCCUCUUUAAACCGAACACUAUUGGGAUGGUUGAGAGCUCUAUGAUUGAUUAUUUCUCUUGCAACGUUCUCAUCUAUCUGCAUCAAACAACAAGUUUGGUAACAACCUCAAAGUUCUUAGUAUCAGAGAAAAGAACAAACAAACAAAAAAAAUAACUAAAAACCUUAUAGCCUCGAUCGAUGAAUUUGACAGCCACAAGCUCGUUUGUUUGCUUAUUACGCAUAAGCCGAGCCAAACCGAAAUUACCAAAUCCCAAAUCCUUCACCAUCUCAUACUUCUCCAUCGUUACAACUACUUUUUUGUUCUCACUUCCUUAAAAUGGUCCUUUAAUAUCUUUUUUUUUUUUUGAUGAAUCUUCUCUUCCAAAAUAUCUUUAGAGACUAGAGAUAUAUAUAUAGAGAGAGAGUGGGAAAGAACGAAGUUAUUAAAUCUCACACACAAAAAAAAAGUAAUUUAGUUUACACGUAGCAAAUAUGACGAAUACUCGAAUAAAAGUGUUGAAACUUGAAAGAGCUUUUCAGGAUACCUAAUAGACAUUUCUUAAGUCUACUAAGCUAUGGACCCACCCAUAUAUAUAUAUCAAUUUUUACCUCUACAAGUAUCACUUUUACUAUUUCUUGUAUGGGUUUAAAGAUACUCGAAACUGUUGAAAUUUACCUCUCAAGCAAGAUUAGAUCAUUGGAUUGUGGUUUUGAAGUUUUGAAUAGGCUGCAUACGCGUCACCGUUUACAUGGAUGUGGUAUUCAUAUAUCUCACAAUUCUUCUCCUUGGUUCACGAUUACAUAUUAUUAAUUAUAGUCUCACAUAGGAUCAGAUGAAACUCUAAUGACACCAAGAACAUCUUACAAGGUUCAUAUGACUACUUGUAUCGACUAUCGAGCAAUUGAAACGAUUUUCAUCACUCAAAAACAACUUAAAGAUCAAUGAACCAAAAAAAACAAUCUUGAUAAAUUCAGUUCGUAGAAUUUAGUUGUUGCUGAAAGAAGAAGCUGAUAUUGUUCCAUCACUUAAACAGAGACAUGGAAAUCUUCAUUGUGUUGGCUUUUGAUUCUUUUUCCUUUUUCUCACAUAUACGAUUAACUCCCUCGAUGUACUGGAAGUAUCUUCGGCUUCCGCUUCCACUUCCACUAUUUCUUUACCUUGUGACACAUUUUGAGUCUCCUUCGUUUUCUUCAAAAGAACCAACAUCAAUCUCAAUCAAAUCCACCAUGAACAUCUUCAAAAAACAACGAUCAUUAAACAAACCUUCUUAUUUAAGCGAUGUGUAGACAUUAGCUCAUAGAAUUUCCGCAUCAUCAUCUCUUCUUCCACCUAAACAACAAAUGUACGUGAGAUUGAAAAGAGCUAAUGUACACUAAGUUUCAUCAACAAACCUCGAGUUUUUGAAGUUCUUGAGUCAUGGUUUUACGAGUUUCUGUGAGCAAUUCAUUUUGCUUCUCCAAAUGGCUGUUGAUGUGCUGCUAACAACAGUAAAUCAUCAUACGCAUACACACGAAAAUAAGCGUAAAACUGUAACAAAAAGACGCACUUUAAUAGAUCGUCGGUAUGAUUAGGAUCCAUGUUCACAAAAUGAUCAACUUCUUCCUAUACUGGUCUUCAGCUGAUCACAAUGAAUCAAAAUUUCAUGAGAAGAUAAUUGACAAAAGCAUAUAAAAAGCACUGAUUCAUCCACACACAUAUCACUAGAGAAGAUAUGAUUCUAAAAAUCUGAAGGGUAUGAUCACAAAUUCGAACAACAGCAAAACCCAGAUAAUUAUAUCAUUCAAAUUAGCUGAUUAAAGGAAGAAACAUAACGAACCAAACAAACAUGAGAACAAAAAAACACAGAUUAAGAAAAGGAAUAUCUUACUUAGACAAUUCGUCGAGCAACUGGUGUGCAUAUAUAGAUAAAUUAUCAAAAAGGAAGUUCUUUUAUUAGUAAAAAAUCUUGAAAAUUCAAGUACGUACCCUUUCGUCGAAUUCUUAUAACUUCACCACCAAUAACAACACUUGACGAUUGUCUUCUUCUCUCUCACACACUCGUUUGUGUCCUGCAAUCUCUCACCCAAAAUCAAGUCCUCUCUUCUACAAUGGAGUUGACUGGGCUAAUGGGCCGGUCCAUUGUACUUUGGGCCGAAAACCAUUUUUUGUGACAUUGUUGGGAAACAAAUUUACGUCCUAUAAAAUAAUUGUCUAAUAUAUACUGUAAAUCAAAUUUAACUUAAAUUAAUACGAGAUUUUUUGCGAAAAAACCCCAAAAACAAAUCUGUGCGGGCUUGACUAAAUGAUUUAGAACAGAAAAUUUCAUACAGUUGACUAAAUGUAACAUAACACACUUGGUAUAGAUAGUUGUAGUUGUAUUUUUUCUUUAAGGGUUCUUUGAACCACUCCAAGAUUUUGAUCCUUGAUUAAAUUUUAAAGUAUGUUAAAAAGUAGAAAAUAUGUGUAUCUCUGACUUCUCUGUUGUUAUGCUUUUCGCUUAACCAUCUUUAUAGAAAACAUACAAAAAGAUUUGAUUCGUUUUGUCCUUUGAAUAAAUGUUACCAAGAAAUUCUGGUUACUGCAGAGAACUGCUUAAAACACUUAUUUUUUUCCAUUAUUUUUUUCAUUCAUCACCCAAAUCACAAAGAUGCAACCAUUGGAUUCGUUUUUUUUUUUUUUUUUUGCCGUAGUCAAAAAUCUUGGGUUUAUUUUUUAACAUUACACAAUGGGCAACCAAAAAGAGGAGUUCAUGUGCUAAGCACUUAGAAAAAAAAAAGAGUUAAAAAAACAAACAAACAAGCGUGGUGUUUGGGUUUUCGAGCCUUGAGAGGUUGGUGGGUGUGUUGUUGUGAAUCUCUAAGUUUUCUCUGUAAAUUAUAUAUUUGUUUACAUGUAUAUAAAACAAUCUUUCUUGUGAAGUAACCCUUUUAAGCUUUCUUGAGAGCAAGAUUGUGCAUAGAUCUCUUCUUAGCUUUGUUUCUCUUUUGUGUUUAACGAUCUUGAAAGUCUUGUAACUUCUUAAAAGAGAGACAGAAAAAAAUGAAGUUUAUGAAACUUGGAACCAAGCCUGAUUCAUUUCAAUCUAAAGGAGACAAUGUUAGGUUUGUAGAAAACAGAUAUUUACCUCUAUGUCUCUUUAAGCAAUGUUUUUCUUAGAAAUUGUCUGUUUUUUGGCUCUUAGGUAUGCAACAACUGAGUUAGAAACAGAGAUCAUCAUCAUCAUAGGCAAUGUCAAAUUCUAUCUGCAUAAGGUAUGCAAACAAAAUCUACCUUUUAAAACAUCAAAGAACAAGCAAAAGCAAGAGUGUUUAUGUUUUGUGUGUGUGUUUUCAGUUCCCAUUGCUGUCGAAAAGCGGAUUCUUGCAGAGACUCAUAGCAACAUCAAAAAAUGAAGAGGAGAAGAAGAACCAAAUUGAUGAGAUUGACAUAUCAGAGAUUCCUGGUGGUUCUGUUGCGUUUGAGAUUUGUGUCAAGUUCUGUUACGGCAUCACGGUUACUUUAAACGCUUACAAUGUAGUAGCAGCUCGUUGCGCGGCUGAGUUCUUGGAGAUGAAUGAAACGUUUGAGAAAAGCAAUCUUGUUUACAAGAUUGAUGUUUUCUUGAACUCAACCAUCUUCCGUAGUUGGAAAGAUUCUAUAAUUGUGCUUCAGACCACAAAAGAUCUCUUGUCUAAUUACUCAGAGGAGCUCUUGAAGCGUUGUCUUGACUCUAUUGCUUCUACAGCUUCGAUAGACACGUUGAAAGUCAAGUGGUCUUACAGUUACAACAGGAAGAAGAAGCUUGAGAACGUGAAAAAACCAGAAGAUGCGGUUCCAAAAGACUGGUGGGUAGAAGAUUUAUGCGAUCUUCAUAUGGAAUUGUAUAAACAAGCCAUUGAAGCAAUCAAGGCGAAAGGGAAAGUCCCGAAUACCGUUAUUGGAGAAGCGUUACACGCUUAUGCAAAAAGAAGAAUAGCUGGUUUUAGUAAAGGCUCAAUGCAAAUCGUUGAUAAAUCUUUAACUGAUACAAUCAUUGAGCUUAUACCAGGUGAGAAAAGAAGUGUUUCUUCUAGUUUCUUGACCAAGUUACAUCGAGCAUCGAUCUUUCUUGGAUAUGAAGAAACAGUGAAAGAGAGGUUAAAGAAAAGAAUCAGUGAGCAGCUUGAAGAAACAACAGUGAAUGAUAUCUUGAUGUAUGAUUUGGAUAUGGUGCAGAGCCUAGUGAAGGAGUUUAUGAACCGUGAUCCGAAAACUCAUUCGAAAGCAUCUGUUGCAAAACUCAUAGAUGGAUACUUAGCUGAGAAAUCAAGAGAUCCUAAUCUUCCUCUUCAGAACUUCCUCUCUCUCGCGGAGACACUCUCUAGCUUCCCAAGACAGUCUCAUGACGGGUUAUAUCGCGCCAUAGACAUGUUUCUCAAGGUAAAACAAGAUCCAUAUUCACUUGUAGUUUCUCAUAAAGAUUCUUGAUUUUUAAUGGGUUUUGAUUUGGAAAUGUUCAGGAACAUUCGGGUGUUAGCAAGAGCGAGAAGAAGAGAGUAUGCGGGUUAAUGGAUUGCAGGAAACUAUCAGCGGAAGCGUGUGAACAUGCUGUGCAGAACGAACGUUUGCCAAUGCGAGUGAUAGUGCAAGUUCUCUUCUUUGAACAGCUCAGAGCCAAUGGUUCAUCAACAGGAUACAGUACUCCUGAGCUCACCACAACGACUCUAAACACUGAGGAUGAUGAAUGGGACCAUGAGAAAGAGUUUUGAUCUCAGCAUUAUUGAAUCUUUUAUCAUAUGUUUCUUCAGAACUUUACAUCAAACUUUGAGUUUUUCCUGGUUAUUGUUUUUCCUGAAUUGGAAACAUUUUGGUCCUGACCUUCGUAAAUGGGUCAGGUAGUAAUGGGUUUUGUGUCUGGGCUUGAAGCCGUUCCAAUCUCAAUUUUUAAUGAGACUAAAAUCAGAGAAAACUCUCAUUUGUAUUUGUCCGUAACCCAAAAGAAAAACCGCAAUUAUCUAUAAACCAAUUAGGGGUCGAUUGGUUGAGAUUUUUACUGUAAGCUUUAUUUUAAAUUCAUGACUGUAAAAUUUAUGAUUUUAGAAAAUAAAUCGUAAUUUUUAAGAAAAUAAAGUCAUAUUUUGUUAGCUUUAAAAAAAGUUGCAAUGAGUAUUUCCCUCCAUGGUCUAUGUUAAUUUUACAAAUGGUAAACAGAAAAAAGAAACAAAUUAUCUAUAUUAUUAAAACUGAAGUAUAUUUGACAAAGAAAGUUUGGAGUUGGAACUUAUUUAAAGGCAAUGAUAUUGGCAUUUAUUUAUUUUUAAAUUAUUCUCUCAAGAAUCUUUAUCAUUUAUCUUUAGUAAAGUAAUGGUUACGGCGGAAUUUAAAUUAAAAUCAAUUUUAAUUCGAUUUUGAUUCAUUUAUUUAUUUAAGAAAAAAAGUAUUUUUUGGAAUAUGUUGUGAUUCGAAUUUUUAAAAAUAGACAUACUUUACUCAAAUAUGAUAAAUAAACGUUUUAAAAAAUAAUGUAAAAAUUGUAUUACAACAUAAAAAUUAGCGGGAUGGUGGAAAUUUAUAUUAGAAUAUAUAAUAAAAAAAUAUUAUACUAUUUUAGUACUAUGAAUAUAAAAAACUAAAAACAUAAUUUUGUCAAAAUUUUAAAAUUUACUAAAUACUAAACUAUGAUAUAACUUAUAAUGGAAACCGUUUUUGUGGAAAAUUCAAAAAAGGAAAACAAGCAUGUGGUAGUCAUGUGCUACGGUUAGGGUUGUUGCAACAAAAGAAGGAGGGCAAUAACGUCUUUUCUCUGAUAACUCAACUCAAUCAGUGUCUUCUUCUUCUUCAGUUUGUUACAGAGCGAUUAAGAGAGAGUGAGAGAUUCUUGGGGUUGGGUAGUGAGAGAGAGAGCUUGAGAACAAGUUUGUAAAGGAUACGUUAUACACCAAGUUUCUAGUGGAUUCUGGAGAAGAUUCUCCGGCGAGAUGUAGGGAAUCCGGCAAGGAUCCCGAACUCGUUAAAUCUGUGUGUUCUUGCUUUUGUUCUUCUUUUGAUUCAUUCCGAGAUCUCAUCACAAAGAUCGAUUCAAGUAUUGGUGAGCUCAGUUCGAUUAUAAACCUUCACAAAUUGGUAUCAGAGGCUCUUCGAUUUCAUGGAAGACGGUGAAGUCGUUAAUCGAAAGAAUCGGAGGAUUUGAAUUAUUCAACAUCGCGACUUAGGAGAAGAAAAUAAGAAGAUGUUGCGAUGUCAAGAACGAUGGAAGAAGUGAACUUGUGACUGUUCUUGGAAGAAGACGUGGUAAGUUGAAGAAAGAAAAUCAAUGGAGUUAUCCCAAUCAGAUCAAAUGAUUUCUGGUUUGUGAAAUCAGUUGAAUCGUAAGUUAUUCUCUCUCUAAGAAUCAGAAAUUUGACAUCUAUGGUAGUUCUAGUUCAAGAAUUUGCUGGGAACGAUGUUGAAAUCACGACAAGUAUAAGAUCGUUGUAGUCUGGAUCGAAGCACAAGACAUCAUCAAGACUCAAAACUUUGUGAAAUUAAGUAUGCAUCCGCUGCAAGUCGCAAGGUUGUAAAAGCACAAGUUUGUAUGUUCACUGUGCAAGGUUGUGAUGUUAUGAAAUCUUCAAGUCUGUAAAGAAAAGAGCCAAGAUUUGUUAAAGCACAAGUUUGUAUGUUCACUGUGCAAGGUUUUUAGCUAAGAUUUUACACUAGGUGUUAGUGUGGUUUCUGGUUAAGGCAUUGUGGGAGUUUUUUUUAUUCAAACUUGGGUUCAAGAUUAGUAAAGAACAGUUACUGGAAGCUCAUAAAAGUCGGGGACGCCUUGGUUGCUUGAUUGGUAUAUGGGUUCAUGGUUGUUUGGACAUCAGUUAAGGCUCAGCAUUUAAAGACAGAAAUUGCAGGAUUAUUCAGGAAUAAUCAGGGAGUUUGCUUAGUAAAGUAAGUUGAUGAUUUAGAGGAUUUCAAGUAUUUGCCAGAGUUUUGAGAAAUAGUUUGUCAAAAGUUAAGUCUCAGAGUUAGUUAUCAGAUUCUUAAAAGAUCGCAAGGACUCCAAGUAUAUGGUGAUCAAAGGUUUGAACAUAGGUCAUCAAUGAGUGAGUGGCAGCUAGGACAAUCCAAAGAUGGAGAAAAACAGGGACACCAAGAAGUAACAAACAAAUUCUCAACUAAAGAUGGAGAAACAUCUUGUGUAAGUAAAUCAAGAUGUGACCGGCAUAAGCCAGUAAGAAUAAAACCAAGGAAAUGUAAAUUGGUUAUUGGUUCUUAUGGCUCAAGUCUGAGAGUCAAGAAGAAAAGUGGAUCAGCUGGUUAUAGGAAUAUCGAGACAUGAAGACUCAAGUUUAAAGGCAUUGUUCGGGUGUUUCUACAGCUAUAACAAGUUAACAGUUGGUCUGUUGGUCUAUAAGACAGACUAAAGUAUUCAAUCUGAAAUCAUAAAAUCAGAAUGAGAGAGCUUCAUUAGAAGCAAGUGGUUCUUGGAGAGUCUUCUAGAUAUUAAAGAGACUGUUGGUGUAGCUACAAAGUGGAAAGAAUUAUAGAUAUAUCAAGUGUUAAUGUCUAUACAGUCGAGCACACAGAGAUUUAUGAUUGAGAAUCAUAAGAGACAGUGAUGAAGAGGUUGUUAGCUCAGCAAGUUAGAACAAAUGUUGAGAGAUACAAGUAAUUAUGAAAGAUCUAAGUUUCCGGUGGAGCCACUAGUGUUACAGAAAUGUGAUACAUAUUCAUGAAGAUGGUUUGUGAUUCCAUGUGGAGCUAUACAAUUAAAGAGUAUCUCCAGUUAACUUAAGUGCGGAGACAUGGGCUGAGUAAACAGGUUUAUCAACUCAUCAGGUUUGAUUUAUGAGAAGAAAUUAGUUACUGUUUGGGUAUGAUUCAGGUUGGUCAAGUGUGUGUGUUGAAGACAGAGGUUCGAGAACAGGUUAAGAUGUCAGAAAGGUUCAAGCAUAAUCAUGUUGCAACAGGAGUGAAGAAUAAAGUUUUCAGGGGGACUGUUGGAAUAUAAUUGAGUUUCUUAGUAAUGUUUUAAGUUUUAACUGAUUUCAUGCAUUAAGUGACGUGUCUUUUACAUGUGUGAAGAGUUACAACUCUUAGUUUGUGUUGUUUCAUGUUGUGUCUUUCCUAGUCUAUAUAAAGACAUUGUCUGUAAACUACAUUCAGUUUUCAUAUUAAUAAAGUUGUGUUUUCUGAGAAAGAGAAUAUCGUUUCUCAUACUCUGUUUUCUUCCUUAUUGUCUUGAGAAUCAAAGAUCAACACUAACGAAGCGAAGCGGGAGGCUGAGAGGCUGCAGAGGAUUGUACUAGCGAAAAUGUAUAAGUCUGAGGAGGAAUACGCAACGCAAGUAACAGAGGCUGAGCGAGGCCGAGGCAGAGACGCAGUAUCUGUUUGAGAAGAUUAAGCUGCAGGGAUAUUCGUCCCGUCACAGGUGUUGAUGUACUCAAAGAUCUCUGCUUCAAGGAUACAAUCUCUCGCCCAAUCCAAUCCUUGAGGGUAUGAAUUUUAUUUUUCUUUUCUACAACUCUUUCAUUAGCUUUGAGCUAAUCUAACUCUGAUUCUCUGGUAAGAACUCCUUGUUUUGAUUAGUCUCUAGGUAGCAGCAACUUUCAAU
rnacentral:lncRNA from 1 species